GGAUGACCCUACAAUUCUCCCCUACCCAGUCCAGGAGCCAGAAUUCUUCCCGGUUGCUCCCAAGCCUGCCCUCCCCUCCUGCCACCUUCCCUGGCCCUCCUAGCAUACCUGCUGUUACAGCUCAUCUUCAGUGAUUUGCCUGGUGGGGGAAGGAAAAGCAACAGCAGGAGCUGCUGGCUGUCUCCAGGAGUGCAGGAGAGCAGGGAGGUGCCGCUUGCCCGGGGCCUGGAUGGAGAGUGGCACUCCCUCCCUUCACACCUCAGGAUGGGCUGAGAUCAGCGCUGGGGUCCCUGAGCACAGCCCUGACUCCAGGCUCUCUGCACCUUUUCCUCCAGACCACCCUGGAGGCAACGCCAGCCCUGCCCUGGGGUAGGCAAGAGCUCGGCUGGCAGGCGGGCCUGUCCCAUGCUCCCAAGUGGAAACCUGCCCCCUCAGCCCAGAGCAGCCCAGUGGAAAUUCCCCGAGCUGGGGAUAGAGAAGUUUACAAACCUCGAGGCUGGGUAAGACUUAGAGGUACCUGGUCCAAACAUAUUCUAAGUGGUUCAGAAAAGUGGAGC